CCUACGGGUGGCUGCAGUGGGGAAUUUUGGACAAUGGGGGCAACCCUGAUCCAGCCAUUCCGCGUGAGUGAAGAAGGCCUUCGGGUUGUAAAGCUCUUUCGGCAGGAACGAAACGGCGGGCUCUAACAUAGCCUGUCAAUGACGGUACCUGAAGAAGAAGCACCGGCUAACUACGUGCCAGCAGCCGCGGUAAUACGUAGGGUGCGAGCGUUAAUCGGAGUUACUGGGCGCGAAGCGUGCGCACGCGGGUGAAAUCCCCGGGCUUAACCUGGGAACUGCGCUUGUGACUGCACGACUGGAGUGUGGCAGAGGGGGGUGGAAUUCCACGUGUAGCAGUGAAAUGCGUAGAGAUGUGGAGGAACACCGAUGGCGAAGGCAGCCCCCUGGGUUAACACUGACGCUCAUGCACGAAAGCGUGGGGAGCAAACAGGAUUAGAUACCCCUGUAGUC
rnacentral:rRNA from 1 species